rnacentral:rRNA from 1 species
AGAGUUUGAUCAUGGCUCAGGACGAACGCUGGCGGCGUGCCUAACACAUGCAAGUCGAGCGAGUGGAUCUCCUUCGGGAGUGAAGCUAGCGGCGGACGGGUGAGUAACACGUGGGCAACCUGCCUCAUAGAGGGGAAUAGCCUUUCGAAAGGAAGAUUAAUACCGCAUAAGAUUGUAGCUUCGCAUGAAGUAGCAAUUAAAGGAGCAAUCCGCUAUGAGAUGGGCCCGCGGCGCAUUAGCUAGUUGGUGAGGUAACGGCUCACCAAGGCGACGAUGCGUAGCCGACCUGAGAGGGUGAUCGGCCACAUUGGGACUGAGACACGGCCCAGACUCCUACGGGAGGCAGCAGUGGGGAAUAUUGCACAAUGGGGAAACCCUGAUGCAGCAACGCCGCGUGAGUGAUGACGGCCUUCGGGUUGUAAAGCUCUGUCUUCAGGGACGAUAAUGACGGUACCUGAGGAGGAAGCCACGGCUAACUACGUG